rnacentral:rRNA from 1 species
GAUUAGCCAUGCUAGUUGCGCGGGUUCAGCCCCGCAGCGGAAAGCUCAGUAACACGUGGCCAAGCUACCCUGUGGAUGGGAAUAAUCUCGGGAAACUGAGGCUAAUACCCAAUAACGCUUCACUUCUGGAACGGGUGAAGCCGGAACCGCUCCGGCGCCACAGGAUGCGGCUGCGGUCGAUUAGGUAGACGGUGGGGUAACGGCCCACCGUGCCUAUAAUCGGUACGGGUUGUGAGAGCAAGAGCCCGGAGACGGAAUCUGAGACAAGAUUCCGGGCCCUACGGGGCGCAGCAGGCGCGAAACCUUUACACUGUACGCAAGUGCGAUAAGGGGACUCCGAGUGUGAAGGCAUAGAGCCUUCACUUUUGUACACCGUAAGGUGGUGUACGAAUAAGGACUGGGCAAGACCGGUGCCAGCCCGCCGCGGUAAUACCGGCAGUCCGAGUGAUGGGCCGAUCUUAUUGGGCCUAAAGCGUCCGUAGCUGGCUAGACAAGUCCGUUGGGGAAAUCUGCCCGCUUAACGGGCAGGCGUCCCAGCGGAAACUGUCUAGCUUGGGACCGGAAAACUUGAGGGGUACCUCCGGGGUAGGAGUGAAAUCCCGAAUCCUGGACGGAC